CAGCCUGGGCAAAAGUGAGACUCCAUCUCUUAAAAAUAUAUAAUUGGCUCACAUUUUCUUUCCUUGAGUAUCUUAAAUAUGUUACUCUAUUUUCUUCUGGCUUAAAAUUAGAUGACAAUCUAAUUUUCUUUCCCUUACACAUCACUUGCUGUUUUUGCCUAGAUUUCCUAAGGAUUUUUUUCUUCUUCUUUAAGCCAAAUAAUAAACCAAAAUAUGCCUUGAUGUUGGUUGUUUUGUGUUCACAUUCUGAGGUUUAUGUGCACUUCCAAUAUGUAAUUUCAAGAAAAUUUUCUUAGAUUAUAGUUGUUAGAAUUUGUUCUGUUUCCUUGUUUUGGUGUUCUACAGGAAACUUUGGUACAGGUCACCUUAUGUCUUCACAUAGCUCUCUUACACUUUCUUAUCCCUGCUUUAAAAUUAAGGAAACUGAUAAUCAGGAAGAUUAUCUGAUUUGUGCAAGGUUUCACAGCGGAUAAGGGGAGAACUAGAACCCAAGUCCGUUCAACUCUGAAACCUGAGGUCUUUCUCCUGGACUUGGCCCCAGGUAGAUGUUUCCUGUGUUUAUUUUCCUGUCUUUCCUUUAUAUGGUCACUCUCAUACACCCCGCAGUCUUGCUCUGCAUAGACCCGAAGGACCGGCGCCACCUAGAAGUGCAUUAGAACUGCGGAAUUGCAGCUGCCGGGCCUGCGGUGAUUCUCAUGCCCAUUGAAACCUGAAGCCCUGGUCUAGGAGAGAAAUCCGAAGUUCUCAGGUGGUAGAUGCUGCGGUCCAAGGAGUUCCUGAAGCAGAAUGAAGCUACCUGGGGCCUCCUUCAAUAACACCGGUAAUUAAGGCACAGUCCUGGCCUGCAAACUCCAAAUAAGGAACUCUGGGAGAAGAGGGAGGGGGCUGCAGGCUCUCAUAUGGCCCUCCUGGUUACUUCACACCCGUGCAGGGCUGGGCGACCCGCAGUGGGCCAGCCAGAGUCAGCCUGCUGCUUUCAGCCCCGGGGCAAGAGCUCUUGCAAACAUACACCUUUUUUCUGUUGCCUGCGUCUUCACCAUCUCUCUACCUUUUCUUUCCCUAUACUUUCUUACUUUUCCCAGGGUUCCUGUAUCCAGGCCUCCCAGCAGUACUGGGGCACUCACUUGGACCCCUGUGUACAUACUUGGGUUUUGGACUAAGUCAAAACUGCAAAGUCUCAGGCCAUAACACAGAGAAACUUAAGCCAGGAGAAUAAGAAGGGCCCUGGAGAGGAGUACCUAAGAGAUGCAGCAUGACAGAACUUGAUUUGUUUUUCAUCCCAGCUCCAUUCAUGACAUGCAAGACUUGGUCAGACGACUGUAGCUUGGCAGGACUUAACAUGUACUGUUCUCGCUCCAGCUUAUAACUUACAUAUUUUCCUCCUUGGCAAGACCCAGGCAACUGUCAUCAGCAGGUUGUGCGGGACUUACCUAGUGUGAUGCAAGUCUGUGUUGGGUUCAGUGUAGACUGAGUCUUGACGCCAGUCCCCCUGCGGCCGAGCGGGAUGCUUGAGGCUGCAGCAAAGUCUAGGUCCGGGCUCCCCCUGCGUGCGCCAAGGCUGGGGAAUCUCUGACAGCCGUAACCAGCCAUUGCCGAGGUGGUGGAACACUUCUCCUGCCUUCCCCUGGCCAAGGUUAACCUCGACAGCAGAGCAAACGAAUUCCCUUUCUCUAGUCCUGGCAGAAAAGAGAGAACAACAGGAAGGGGAGGGAAAAACACUCCUUAGGAUGUCCAGUGUGAAGGCAGCCAUGUAGGUGAUUCUUUAAGUCUCACUUUCUAAAUUGGGAUCAUCCCACAUUUUUUAUUUGAGGCCUGUUCACUGACAUUUUUUUCUAAGCACUACGUAAGGCAUUUUACCACAUGCCAGAUAGACCUGGCCAUCAGAACGUAACCUGUUUACCCUCUGGAAUGACACUUUUCCCCUCCCAUAUUCUUGAGACUAAUUUCCUGCCAGUUUCUAACCAUUCAGGAAAAGCAACUCUGAGACCUAAAAGAGUUAAUGUAGCCCAGAGACUGAGCAGAUUUCUCCUCUCCACUGAUACCAUCAGACAAUAAUUAAUCCUCAUUGUUCCCCAAAGGACAGCUGAGGAAAAGCUUCAUUCCCCAGAUGAGGUGGCUCAACUUCCCCAGACCAUUGUUCCAGCUAGCAAGUGGCCAGGUACCCACAGUGCAACCUGUUGAGCCUCUGGGAACAGGCCUCUGGUCUCCCAUGACAGAUGUUAUAAAAAUAUAUACACUGCUUUGAAGAAAGGUUCUGGUCCACUGAUGUCAAGUGAAGGUCAGAUUAUGGAAAACUGGCAUUGUUACAACAAGAAAUGAAGCCUGCUCAUGUUUUCUCUUGGUAUUUUGAAUAAAGAAUCUCACUACGUAGUUUCCAACUUGAAGAUUUAAUUAAAGGCAUGAGGAGGGAUUGAUUCUAGAUGCUGACCAGUGGCAAUGACUUUCUACCAGGCAUCAGAGAAACAUCUAUUGAAAUGCAUGAGGGAAACCAUUUGGUUUCAGACUGAAGGUCUACUGAAAAAAUGUUUUGAAUAGAUCAGGAAGAUCAGAACAAUUUGGAAUGUCUUAUUCAGAGAUUUUUUAAAAAGCACUCCUUAAAGAAAGCUAUUUGGUAGAAAUAGUAGCCAAUCCUAUUUUUUACCUUUUAUGCAAAAUAACUUGUCAUCUCUGAGAAAUAAAGUGGGUAUGCUGUUUUAACUGAAGUGUAAAGAUUGGCAAUACAAUGUCAAAAUAAUAGCUAGAUGGGGGAGAUAUCAGAAAGGAGGAUGGAGGCAGGGUGAACCAAUUGAGAAGGAAUGCUCUUUCAUUUUGAAUCUAGACAAAUGGGUGCUGCUAACACUUCCCUAAGAUGUACGGCUCAGUGGACUGUGGCAGGAGUGUCCCUGGAGCACGCCUUUGGCUGCCAUCCCCAGGAAACUCCCUUUCAGUUUCUGCGCUGGUCACCUGGGAACCAGGUCUGGUGGAGUUCACACUCUUUCUUCCUGGAUGCUUUCUGUGCUAAUCUUAUUGAGAGUGUGGGCCACCCAGUGACUUUGGCUUCAAAGUGCCUCUCUAGUUUUCCACCCUCAGUAAAACCUCCUUCAUCCUCACUAAGUAUAGAAAGUAACUCGAAUGAACUCGCUCACAGUAAGCUGUAGGUAGAGAACCUGUCUCCCCUCUCUGCCCAGGCUGAGGUCAAGGCUAUGGUGACUGACGGCAUCACAGCACAAGU